rnacentral:rRNA from 1 species
UACGGGGCGCAGCAGGCGCGAAACCUUUACACUGCACGACAGUGCGAUAGGGGGACACCGAGUGCGAGGGCAUAGAGCCCUCGCUUUUGUGUACCGUAAGGUGGUACACGAAUAAGGGCUGGGCAAGACCGGUGCCAGCCGCCGCGGUAACACCGGCAGCCCAAGUGAUGGCCGAUAUUAUUGGGCCUAAAGCGUCCGUAGCUGGCCGAGUAAGUCUUUCGGGAAAUCCGCUGGCCUAACCAGUGGGCGUCCGGAGGAUACUGCUCGGCUUGGGACCGGGAGACCAAAGGGGUACGUCCGGGGUAGGAGUGAAAUCCCGUAAUCCUGGACGGACCACCGGUUGCGAAAGCGCCUUUGGAGAACGGAUCCGACAGUGAGGGACGAAAGCUAGGGUCUCGAACCGGAUUAGAUACCCGGGUAGUCCUAGCCGUAAACGAUGAUCGCUAGGUGUGGCACAGGCUACGAGCCUGUGCUGUGCCGUAGGGAAGCCGUGAAGCGAUCCGCCUGGGAAGUACGUCCGCAAGGAUGAAACUUAAAGGAAUUGGCGGGGGAGCACUACAACCGGAGGAGCCUGCGGUUUAAUUGGAUUCAACGCCGGG